UCUUAAGAUAAUAAAUUAUUACUCAAUAACAAAUUACAAAAUUAGUUCUAAGUAAAUUAAUAAGAUAAAAUUAUCAGUUUGAUGUUUAUGAAGCAUCAGAAUAUUAAAAUAAUAAGUCUUUCAUAUAAAUAUAUAGUGGCUUUUUUCUAUACUUUAAUCAAUAAAUACAAUAAGGUUAAAUUUUUAAAUAUUUGGUCAAGCUUUUUUUAGUGUGUAUUGUAAGUGGAAUAUUUUGGUCGAAGAAUCAAGUGGGGAUUGGAUCCAGUUAAUACAUGGAGCAGUUUCAUCUGGAAAAUGAAUAUGCAUACUUAAUAUUUAGGGAAUGCAAUUUUUUGAGAAUCUUGGCCUAAGAUUUUGUUGUGCCAGUGGGGAAAUAACGUCAUGAGUCUGUGCUUUUGGGCAGUGGUAGAACCACCUGGCGAGUUAAAAGUUUGACACAAAGCAAGAUUCUCGGGCACCAGUGGAGUAGGUAUAUUUUAUGAUACACAAUUUGGUGGAUAUUGAGUGAGUAAUAAUGAUUUACCAAACGACGACUCAUUAGAGUAAAAAAUAUUUGUUUUUAAAUGCAAUGACUCAUUUUAUAAUAAAUAAUUAUUAAUCACCCAACUUAUAACAAAAAUUGAAAACCACUUUUAAAAUAUCGAAAAUUUAAAAUACCAAUAAGUAGCACACAAAAAGCAGAAAUAUUUUGAACUAUAUUUCAUGUACUAUAUUAAUUAUUCGAUGAAAAUUAAGUCUACAAUUGGAGAUUCAUUUUGGAGUUACAACAAAAAAAAAAAUUGAUUUUGUGAAUAAUUUGGUUUUGCGUAGUGAAAUUCCAGUUUUUUCCCAAGUUAUUUGAUUGUUUUUCCGGAUUGUUUUUAAUUGCACUAAAUUUUUUUUUUUUUCCCCUGGUUUCCAACUACAUAUUUAAUCUGUUACAAGUACCAAUUCUUGAAAUAAAAGUACAAACAGACAUAUUUUUUUAAAUAAUUGGACAAAUUAUAAUUUGGGCAUCAGCCAAAAAUUAACGAAAAAAAAAAUUGAAAUAUAAACGUGACUCUCUAAUUGAAUAUAGCAGGUGAUGUGUCUUAUGAAUUUUGUAGUAGCUAUUGGAUAACACGGGGAUGAGUUAUUUCCAGUUUUUUAAUAUUUUCAGUUAUCGACUGGGCAUUGCAGAGUGCAGACUGAAGCUGCCAUUGCUAUUGCCUCCGUCCGAACACGUCUCCCAUAGAAAAGAGGUCACGCCACACCCGAAGUGUCAGUCCAUCUCAGAAAGUUGGACCGAACACGUUUUGGUCUUUGGCUGGUCACUGUCCUACUCUUCGUCCGUUAUCGGAUGUCGAACGCUCGUCACGUGAUGCACACCUGGUGCAGUUGCACACUUGCUGCAGAGGAGCAUCUCCUCUGCCUUCUGGAGUUCUACGCCAUUCUUAGCCACUGCUACAGUUUAUGUCCUCGAGUCCGCUGUUCUCCGUCCGUUUCGAGUUCACACCGCUAUGUUUCCCAAGCCAUUGACUUCUUUCAGUGGUUCUCGUGGCCACCGUCAACUGUUGAGCAACACAUUUCUGCAGUGUCGUGCACUUUGAACUUUUUCGCUCCAAUACAAUGAGAGCGACGUGCAGUUUGACGUCUUUAUGCCUUUGCGAUCGGCGGCGUACUGUUGCAGGCCCGAUUGGGCUCUCCCUUCGAUGUCUCCGAAACUGCAUCGUUGUUACCUUUCUGGCUGUUUAUUGAAACCCGUUUUUUGACUUAAUUCUUAAGAAUUUAAAGUACCUUCCUAGCUGUUCAUAUUUGUUUAACCUAAGCUUAGAUUAAUCAACUUUAUACCAUUUGCAUUAAUUUUAAAAAUAAAUAUUGUGUCUGGAA